rnacentral:rRNA from 1 species
UGUAGUCUGCAACUCGACUACAUGAAGCUGGAAUCGCUAGUAAUCGCGAAUCAGAAUGUCGCGGUGAAUACGUUCCCGGGUCUUGUACACACCGCCCGUCACACCAUGGGAGGUUGGUAACGCCCGAAGUCUGUGACCCAACCAUUAAGGGAGGGAGCAGCCGAAGGCAGGUCGGAUGACUGGGGGUGAAGUCGUAACAAGGUAGC